rnacentral:rRNA from 1 species
GGCUUGGCGGGAUGCUUACCAUGCAGUCGAACGGCAGCACGGGUGCUUGCACCUGGUGGCGAGUGGCGAACGGGUGAGUAAUACAUCGGAACAUGUCCUGUAGUGGGGGAUAGCCCGGCGAAAGCCGGAUUAAUACCGCAUACGAUCUACGGAUGAAAGCGGGGGACCUUCGGGCCUCGCGCUAUAGGGUUGGCCGAUGGCUGAUUAGCUAGUUGGUGGGGUAAAGGCCUACCAAGGCGACGAUCAGUAGCUGGUCUGAGAGGACGACCAGCCACACUGGGACUGAGACACGGCCCAGACUCCUACGGGAGGCAGCAGUGGGGAAUUUUGGACAAUGGGCGAAAGCCUGAUCCAGCAAUGCCGCGUGUGUGAAGAAGGCCUUCGGGUUGUAAAGCACUUUUGUCCGGAAAGAAAUCCUUGGCUCUAAUACAGUCGGGGGAUGACGGUACCGGAAGAAUAAGCACCGGCUAACUACGUGCCAGACGGCC